GACGAACGCUGGCGGCGUGCUUAACACAUGCAAGUCGAGCGGUAAGGCUCCUUCGGGAGUACACGAGCGGCGAACGGGUGAGUAACACGUGAGCAAUCUGCCCUUCACUUCGGGAUAACCCUCGGAAACGAGAGCUAAUACCGAAUACGACCACUUCAGGCAUCUGAUGGUGGUGGAAAGUUCCGGCGGUGAAGGAUGAGCUCGCGGCCUAUCAGCUUGUUGGUGAGGUAAUGGCUCACCAAGGCUUCGACGGGUAGCCGGCCUGAGAGGGUGACCGGCCACACUGGGACUGAGACACGGCCCAGACUCCUACGGGAGGCAGCAGUGGGGAAUAUUGGACAAUGGGCGGAAGCCUGAUCCAGCAACGCCGCGUGAGGGAUGACGGCCUUCGGGUUGUAAACCUCUUUCGCUACUGACGAAGGUCCAGCUUUUGUUGGGUUGACGGUAGGUGGAGAAGAAGCACCGGCCAACUACGUGCCAGCAGCCGCGGUAACAC
rnacentral:rRNA from 1 species